AGCAGCCGCGGUAAUUCCAGCUCCAAUAGCGUAUAUUAAAGUUGCUGCAGUUAAAAAGCUCGUAGUUGAAUUUCGGGACCAAUUUGUCGGUCGUGCCUCGGUACGCACUGGCUUAUUGGUUUCUCCCUUCUGAAGAACCAUGAUGUCAUUUAUUUGGUGUCGUGGGGAAUCAGGACUGUUACUUUAGAAAAAAUUAGAGUGUUUAAAGCAGGCUCACGCUUGAAUACAUUAGCAUGGAAUAAUGAAAUAGGACGUUUGAUUCUAUUUUGUUGGUUUCUAGGAUCGACGUAAUGAUUAAUAGGGAUAGUUGGGGGCAUUAGUAUUCAAUUGUCAGAGGUGAAAUUCUUGGAUUUAUUGUAAGACUAACUACUGCGAAAGCAUUUGCCAAGGAUGUUUUCAUUAAUCAAGAACGAAAGUUAGGGGAUCGAAGACGAUCAGAUACCGUCGUAGUCUUAACCAUAAACUAUGCCGACUAGGGAUCGGAUGAUGUUAAUUUUUAAUGUACUCAUUCGCGCCUUAA
rnacentral:rRNA from 1 species